rnacentral:rRNA from 1 species
AACGAACGCUGGCGGCAUGCCUAACACAUGCAAGUCGAACGAGAUCUUCGGAUCUAGUGGCGCACGGGUGCGUAACGCGUGGGAAUCUGCCCCUUGCUUCGGAAUAACAGUGAGAAAUUACUGCUAAUACCGGAUGAUGUCUCCGGACCAAAGAUUUAUCGGCAAGGGAUGAGCCCGCGUAGGAUUAGGUAGUUGGUGGGGUAUUGGCCUACCAAGCCGACGAUCCUUAGCUGGUCUGAGAGGAUGAUCAGCCACACUGGGACUGAGACACGGCCCAGACUCCUACGGGAGGCAGCAGUGGGGAAUAUUGGACAAUGGGCGAAAGCCUGAUCCAGCAAUGCCGCGUGAGUGAUGAAGGCCUUAGGGUUGUAAAGCUCUUUUACCAGGGAUGAUAAUGACAGUACCUGGAGAAUAAGCUCCGGCUAACUCCGUG